rnacentral:lncRNA from 1 species
GUUUGAUACAGCUCAGCACAAUUAGACGUCGUCAGUGGGAAAUUAACGGAGAGGGCUUUAUUGCCUCAAAUUAACAAAUAUUUGGAUGCAAUUGGGACAAAAAAAACAUGAGGACCCAGUUGAGAAUUGGGCACAAAUAUGAGGAUCAAAACAUAUAUUUAACCUUUAUUUUAAAACUCUAAUUCUACCUCAUUUAUUCACUGCAUCGUUGCAUCCCCACCCCCACAUCUCACGGAUUUUGUCCUUUCUUCCUCAUUUCUGUUUGAGUUCCUCUCUUUUCUUCUUCAUUCCCUUUCAUUUUCGUUCAUUAUUCUCUCCACCAUUUUCUUUUUGGGUUUCAUUGCUUUCAUUGGUUGUUGAUUCCUGGUGUGGAGGAACGUUGAGGAGCGUCGAUCCAGGUUUCGUUGCUGCUUGUUUUCAUCUUGAUCUAGGUUGGUUUUCUUCACCACUCUUUUGUAGCUUUGUUUACAUGUCAGUUAGUUUAAUUUGCAUGUGUAUUUAGGUUGUAUUAUUGUUUGUUUGCUUUGAAUAUGUGCUAUGUUGUUGUUGUUAUUGAUUCAUGCAUUGUAUAUGCCGCUGUUUG